GUGUCAGCAGCCGCGGUAAUACAGAGGGUGCGAGCGUUAAUCGGAAUUACUGGGCGUAAAGGGCGCGUAGGCGGUACAUCAAGUGUGAUGUGAAAUCCCUGGGCUUAACCUGGGAAUGGCAUCACGGACUGGUGUACUGGAGUACUGUAGAGGGCAGUGGAAUUUCCGGUGUAGCGGUGAAAUGCGUAGAGAUCGGAAGGAACACCAGUGGCGAAGGCGACUGUCUGGACAGAUACUGACGCUGAGGCGCGAAAGCGUGGGGAGCAAACAGGAUUAGAUACCCUGGUAGUCCACGCUGUAAACGAUGAGAACUAGAUGUUGGCAGGCUUGGCCUGUUAGUAUCGAAGCUAACGCGAUAAGUUCUCCGCCUGGGGAGUACGGCCGCAAGGUUAAAACUCAAAUGAAUUGACGG
rnacentral:rRNA from 1 species